AUAAGAGGUCCCGCCUGCCCUGUGACUAUAAGUUUAACGGCCGCGGUAUUUUAACCGUGCGAAGGUAGCGUAAUCACUUGUCUUUUAAAUGAAGACCUGUAUGAAUGGCAUCACGAGGGCUUAGCUGUCUCCCAUCUCCAGUCAAUGAAAUUGACCUCCCCGUGCAGAGGCGGGGAUAACUACAUAAGACGAGAAGACCCUAUGGAGCUUUAGACCUAAAGUAAGUCACGUUUAACAUGCUACGAUAAUAGUAAAAACUUAGUGAUAAUUACUGAAGUGUCUUUGGUUGGGGCGACCGCGGGGUAAAACACAACCCCCAUGUGGACCGGGGAUAUUAUCCCUAAUACUCAGAGCCUCUACUCCAAGUAACAGAAAUUCUGACUUUUCUGAUCCGGUAUAACCGAUCAACGAACCGAGUUACCCUAGGGAUAACAGCGCAAUCCCCUCUCAGAGCCCAUAUCGACGAGGGGGUUUACGACCUCGAUGUUGGAUCAGGACAUCCUAAUGGUGCAGCCGCUAUUAAGGGUUCGUUUGUUCAACGAUUAAAGUCC
rnacentral:rRNA from 1 species